AUGCAUCCAUGGAGAAUUACGGGAAUGUGGAAUGCUCUUCCAUUAAUAACGCCUUCUUUUACAUUCCUCCAGUGCUCUAGGAAUGAAAGCUACAGACAAUUCUUUCUUGUAAUGCUCCUUUUCAUUUCAGCCACAGAGGAAACAGACAACACCAGAAAUGAAGGCCCCAUGAAAGAUAACGGUUUCAAAAAGAUAAGACUCUUGCAGCAGUGGAUUCUGGGUAGAUGAGAUAUUAUUCUAUCUUCCACUCAUUUCCAUGGAUUCAUUAACCAGCUAUAAUUUAAAAUCACAAACGCUGUUAUUUUGGGGGCAAGAAUUAUGCUUUAUACUCUGGAGGAUACAAAAUAAGCAAAAUUCCUGCCCUCAAGCUGCUCAAAGCAUCUGUGGAAAGCUCAUGCACAGUUAUACGCAAAAUCAAAUGAAAAUUCAAAAUUUUUUAAAAAGGCAAAAAAUAAAGGAAAUUUCAUGAAAAACUAAUGAUUGGGC
rnacentral:lncRNA from 1 species